rnacentral:rRNA from 1 species
UACAGAGGGUGCAAGCGUUAAUCGGAAUUACUGGGCGUAAAGCGUGCGUAGACGGUAGCGUAAGUCGGGUGUGAAAGCCCCGGGCUCAACCUGGGAAUUGCAUUCGAGACUGCUCUGCUAGGGUGCGGAAGAGGGGAGCGGAAUUUCCGGUGUAGCGGUGAAAUUCGUAGAUAUUGGGAAGAACACCGGUGGCGAAGGCGGCUAUCUGGACCGACAUUGACGCUGAGGCGCGAAAGCGUGGGGAGCAAACAGG